UUAAGUUAUUAAGGGCGCACGGUGGAUGCCUUGGCACUAGAAGCCGAUGAAGGACGUUACUAACGACGAUAUGCUUUGGGGAGCUGUAAGUAAGCUUUGAUCCAGAGAUUUCCGAAUGGGGAAACCCAGCAUGAGUUAUGUCAUGUUAUCGAUAUGUGAAUACAUAGCAUAUCAGAAGGCACACCCGGAGAACUGAAACAUCUUAGUACCCGGAGGAAGAGAAAGAAAAUUCGAUUCCCUUAGUAGCGGCGAGCGAAACGGGAAGAGCCCAAACCAACAAGCUUGCUUGUUGGGGUUGUAGGACACUCUAUACGGAGUUACAAAGGACGACAUUAGACGAAUCAUCUGGAAAGAUGAAUCAAAGAAGGUAAUAAUCCUGUAGUCGAAAAUGUUGUCUCUCUUGAGUGGAUCCUGAGUACGACGGAGCACGUGAAAUUCCGUUGGAAUCUGGGAGGACCAUCUCCUAAGGCUAAAUACUCUCUAGUGACCGAUAGUGAACCAGUACCGUGAGGGAAAGGUGAAAAGCACCCCGGAAGGGGAGUGAAAUAGAACCUGAAACCGUGUGCUUACAAGUAGUCAGAGCCCGUUAAUGGGUGAUGGCGUGCCUUUUGUAGAAUGAACCGGCGAGUUACGAUUUGAUGCAAGGUUAAGCAGUAAAUGUGGAGCCGUAGCGAAAGCGAGUCUGAAUAGGGCGUUUAGUAUUUGGUCGUAGACCCGAAACCAGGUGAUCUACCCUUGGUCAGGUUGAAGUUCAGGUAACACUGAAUGGAGGACCGAACCGACUUACGUUGAAAAGUGAGCGGAUGAACUGAGGGUAGCGGAGAAAUUCCAAUCGAACCUGGAGAUAGCUGGUUCUCUCCGAAAUAGCUUUAGGGCUAGCCUCAAGUGAUGAUUAUUGGAGGUAGAGCACUGUUUGGACGAGGGGCCCCUCUCGGGUUACCGAAUUCAGACAAACUCCGAAUGCCAAUUAAUUUAACUUGGGAGUCAGAACAUGGGUGAUAAGGUCCGUGUUCGAAAGGGAAACAGCCCAGACCACCAGCUAAGGUCCCAAAAUAUAUGUUAAGUGGAAAAGGAUGUGGCGUUGCCCAGACAACUAGGAUGUUGGCUUAGAAGCAGCCAUCAUUUAAAGAGUGCGUAAUAGCUCACUAGUCGAGUGACACUGCGCCGAAAAUGUACCGGGGCUAAACAUAUUACCGAAGCUGUGGAUUGUCCUUUGGACAAUGGUAGGAGAGCGUUCUAAGGGCGUUGAAGCAUGAUCGUAAGGACAUGUGGAGCGCUUAGAAGUGAGAAUGCCGGUGUGAGUAGCGAAAGACGGGUGAGAAUCCCGUCCACCGAUUGACUAAGGUUUCCAGAGGAAGGCUCGUCCGCUCUGGGUUAGUCGGGUCCUAAGCUGAGGCCGACAGGCGUAGGCGAUGGAUAACAGGUUGAUAUUCCUGUACCACCUAUAAUCGUUUUAAUCGAUGGGGGGGACGCAGUAGGAUAGGCGAAGCGUGCGAUUGGAUUGCACGUCUAAGCAGUAAGGCUGAGUAUUAGGCAAAUCCGGUACUCAUUAAGGCUGAGCUGUGAUGGGGAGAAGACAUUGUGUCUUCGAGUCGUUGAUUUCACACUGCCGAGAAAAGCCUCUAGAUAGAAAAUAGGUGCCCGUACCGCAAACCGACACAGGUAGUCAAGAUGAGAAUUCUAAGGUGAGCGAGCGAACUCUCGUUAAGGAACUCGGCAAAAUGACCCCGUAACUUCGGGAGAAGGGGUGCUCUUUAGGGUUAACGCCCAGAAGAGCCGCAGUGAAUAGGCCCAAGCGACUGUUUAUCAAAAACACAGGUCUCUGCUAAACCGUAAGGUGAUGUAUAGGGGCUGACGCCUGCCCGGUGCUGGAAGGUUAAGAGGAGUGGUUAGCUUCUGCGAAGCUACGAAUCGAAGCCCCAGUAAACGGCGGCCGUAACUAUAACGGUCCUAAGGUAGCGAAAUUCCUUGUCGGGUAAGUUCCGACCCGCACGAAAGGCGUAACGAUUUGGGCACUGUCUCAACGAGAGACUCGGUGAAAUCAUAGUACCUGUGAAGAUGCAGGUUACCCGCGACAGGACGGAAAGACCCCGUGGAGCUUUACUGUAGCCUGAUAUUGAAAUUCGGCACAGCUUGUACAGGAUAGGUAGGAGCCUUUGAAACGUGAGCGCUAGCUUACGUGGAGGCGCUGGUGGGAUACUACCCUAGCUGUGUUGGCUUUCUAACCCGCACCACUUAUCGUGGUGGGAGACAGUGUCAGGCGGGCAGUUUGACUGGGGCGGUCGCCUCCUAAAAGGUAACGGAGGCGCUCAAAGGUUCCCUCAGAAUGGUUGGAAAUCAUUCAUAGAGUGUAAAGGCAUAAGGGAGCUUGACUGCGAGACCUACAAGUCGAGCAGGGUCGAAAGACGGACUUAGUGAUCCGGUGGUUCCGCAUGGAAGGGCCAUCGCUCAACGGAUAAAAGCUACCCCGGGGAUAACAGGCUUAUCUCCCCCAAGAGUUCACAUCGACGGGGAGGUUUGGCACCUCGAUGUCGGCUCAUCGCAUCCUGGGGCUGUAGUCGGUCCCAAGGGUUGGGCUGUUCGCCCAUUAAAGCGGUACGCGAGCUGGGUUCAGAACGUCGUGAGACAGUUCGGUCCCUAUCCGUCGUGGGCGUAGGAAAUUUGAGAGGAGCUGUCCUUAGUACGAGAGGACCGGGAUGGACAUACCUCUGGUGUACCAGUUGUCGUGCCAACGGCAUAGCUGGGUAGCUAUGUGUGGACGGGAUAAGUGCUGAAAGCAUCUAAGCAUGAAGCCCCCCUCAAGAUGAGAUUUCCCAACUUCGGUUAUAAGAUCCCUCAAAGAUGAUGAGGUUAAUAGGUUCGAGGUGGAAGCAUGGUGACAUGUGGAGCUGACGAAUACUAAUCGAUCGAAGACUUAAUCAA
rnacentral:rRNA from 1 species